UGUAUUUAUGAGAUUUUAUAGCUGAGAAAGACUGCGUUGUGUUGGCCUACGUUUAAUGAACAUAGGCAACACAUGAAGACAAGGGCUGACCUAACCUGGAUUACACGUUUCGUGUUGUGCGUGUUGGUCAAUGAGAGUAGUAGGAGGAAUUAGGCAAUAAUAAAUCUGUGAAAUCAUCGUCGUGGUAGUUUACCUAGUGCCCGCCUACUUGCGCGGCUGAUUCAAAUUUGUAAUGAACAAGUUAUUCUCACGACAAUUUAGGGAAUCAUUUACAGAAGCUUUGAAUUAUUUCUGUACGAGAAAAAGAUCAUAUAUACUUUUAUAUUAAUAUCUCGUGCAACAAGCGAUUAUUUGGACUAAAGAGCAGUUUUUCAUAACCAGUGCAAAAUGGAACACCGUAAGAAAUUUAUAAGUACAAGUAAACAAGAUAGAAUGGCAAGGCGUUCAUGAUAACUGAACGGGAACCAAUACAUGAAAAGCAGCCAGCGUAAAACGCUUUCUCCUGAGUUAUUUUAUAUUCUGCUUUGAAGAGAUAGCUGUCCCAUGAUGUUUAUAAUGAGAUAUGAAGAACUGCCUAGGAGAAAAUCAGAGAUCACAGCAGGUUAUCAGCUGAAAUCUUGUGAACACUCCCUAUGGCUGCAACACCAUGCAAGGUGACCCUACACCAGUGGGGGCAAGAGACAACAGGAGAAAUGGAUCAUGAAAUAAAACUGUAACUGCAACCUGAGGCUGUUCUACUACUGCUACUACUACUACUACUACUACUACACCAUGAGGCUGUGUUCCACCCAUCUGCUAUGAUGCUUAUUGAAGAAUAUUUAUUUUUGUCUUGUAAUUUUAUGUGUGCUCAUGCACACUUCAUUUCAUAGUUUUGAUGGUUGUUCUGUGCAUGUUUCACCUCAAUUUACUCAAACCAUUUGUUUCAUGCAAUAUAUGUUAUUAUUUCAACUAUAAUGUAGUGUUCUCUCAUUGUUCUGUCUUCGAUAAUAAUGCAGUGGCGUUAAGGUAUUUUAGAAUCUUGGACUAUACUCUCUAAUUGAUGUUCUAGCUUGUGUACCUGUGACUUAUUCUUUUCUGUAUCUUUGAAAUUUUAACCAUAUUGCCAGUUAUUCAUUUCAUGUUGUCCAUUAAGACUGUGUUUA